CUUAUUGUGUACGUAACUUAUAUUGUCAAUGUAGUUCUAUUAUUCAUAUUAUUCAAAUCUCUUUACCAUAAGAAGAGCUGAAAACGAAAAUUGAAAACGAAUUAUAUAAUUAAUUAUAGAGCUAAAUAGAGCAAUAGAAAAUGGAAUAGAUUUAAAAUCAGAAUAGAAGAGCACCUGAAGGAUGAUAGGUCUGAAGAAGAAAUAAAAUUGAAAAGCUGAAAAACAAAGAAAAAAGAUUUGAAAGAAAGUGAUCAUAAAAGCGAUAACAGUGAUGAAGACUGUCUUAUAUAGACUUAUAUAGACUAGAAAAUACCUGCACUUAUAUUUAUAAAUUAUUGACUAAUCGAAAAGGUAGAAAAAGAAAUGUAUUUGAAUUAACUUUCUGUAAUUUUAUAAUUUUAUAAGUAGAUUUGAACCUAAUGAAUUUAUGUUAAUACAAGCAUGUAGAAUAGAACAUGAGUGAGUGUGGAGAAAAGAACAUUAUAAGAAAAAGAAUUAAGAGAAUCAAAAUGAAUGCAAUUCGUAUAAUGUAAUAAAUAUGUUUGAAUAUAGUGUACAAAAUCAGAGAGUAACAUGAAGAAAAAUA